CCCAUUGUAUCCACUGAAAACACAGAACUGAUUUGAUAUUUUCAGCCCGAAUAAAUAUAAUCAUUUGUGAACUCGGGACGCAUGUGCUUCCAUGGCGCAUGGUACUAAAUGUGCUGAGAGCCCUGUACAUGACAUGUUUCUCUGGAAGACAAAUUAUUCUGACUCUGUUCGGUGCUCCUCUAAUGGGGCAAAGGAUUCGCACAUUAGCCUGGAAGCUCAUAGCAUUUCUGAAAUGGUAGGCAGUGAGGCUUUUCCACUUAGGUUAUAUGAAGUCAAACACUGACUUAAAGGUAAAACACUGGUACUACUGCUUGUACACUACCGUUCAAAAGUUUGGGGUCACCCAGACAAUUUUGUGUUUUCCAUGAAAAGUCACACUUUUAUUUACCACCAUCAGUUGUAAAAUGAAUAGAAAAUAUAGACCCCUUUGCAGUAAACGUCAUUCAUACGUAAGAGGAAAUUGCACGCACAGCCUGGACUCAAAAAAGACUCAGCGAUGCCUAGUUGUUGUGUUGUCGGGUGUCAGAAUCGUAGCAGUGAUGGGGUUAAACUGUACAGAAUUCCAGCAGGAUCUCACCCAUUCCAAAAAAAUCGCCGACGUCUAUGACUACAAGCCAUCAAACGUGCAGACUGGGAUGAAAGCGCCAUCAAAAAUGCGUGGGUUUGCAGCGCCCACUUCAUCACAGGAGAGGUCUCGCUUGACUCAAGCAGUCCAGAUUUUGUGCCAUCAUUAUUUGUGUAUGCCGAAAAUCACAAUUUUAAAGCAAGGAUGGAAAGCCUGCAAGAAAAGCAUUUAAAAAGAAGCAGAAGGAGAUAGUAAAGACCUUGAACCCCAACACCUGACAAGUGGACAUGAAGCUCCAUCAUCUUGGCAUGUAUAUUUGGCUCACAUUUAAGGGCAGAUGG